AUGAGCUGGUCCGACCUGCCAGCCGAGCUCGUAGCCGGGAUCGCCGACAGGAUCACGGAGCACGUGGACCUCGCGCGCUUCCGCUCGGUUUGCCCAUCUUGGCGCUCGGCCUCGGCGGAGCACGCCGCACGCCGCCGCACCCCCCUGGUCCUCCUGCCCUCCCAGAGCUACUCCCGCGUCGACCGCCGUCUCUGGUCACCCGCCAACGACAGCAUCACGGAGACCCCCAUGCCCGCCGCGUGCGGUCGCUCCUUCCUUUUCGCCUCGCCUCGUGGCUGGACCCUCGGCGUGGCCAACGACCUCUCGGCCACGCUGCUGCAACCAUUCACCGGCGCGUCGGAGAGCCUGCCCGCACUGCCGCCAUCCUUCCACGGCGAAUAUGAGAAGAUCCUCCGUGACAUGGUAUGGGAUCGGUCCCCUGGCGCCGUCAUGAUCUCGCCGGGCAAAGGCGCGUUCUUCUGCAAGCUGCCGGGCGACGGCGGGUCAUGGAGCGCCGCCGGAUCCUCGCAAACGGCUGCCGUCAGCAGCAUCACCUACGAUGACGGUACGUUUUACCUUCUGGACGGGCGAGCCCGCAGGGUCACGGCCGUGGACGCCGCAACUUUCGCCGUGACCGCCGUAGUCGAGCCACCAGAUCUGGUGUCGCCCAGACAUGCUUGGUGCACACCCGAGUCCACGCUCGUCGUGUCCUCCGGCGAGCUGCUCCUCAUCGUCAGGACAGCCGGAGCACCAUACGGCUCGGGGGGCCUCUUCAAGGUCUUCCGCGCGGACAGCCGGAGCCUGGCGGCCGGAUGGUCGGAGGUCGCCGGCGGCGGCAUCGGCAACCGCGCCCUGUUCGUGGACCAUCUGCGCGGCUUCUGCGUGGAGGUCAGCGGGCUCAACGGGGUGCGGAGGAACUGCGUGUACGUGGCCAGCUCGCACGAGAUGGUGAACGACGACUACGGGCUGGACGUUUAUGGGAGGUACACCGUCUCGGUGCUCGACCUCGACGACCUUUCCACCCAGGAUCUCUCAUACGGGAACCUGUUGAAGUGCAUGUGUGGCAGAUUCUGGCAGUGGCCUUCUUGGAUCAUGCCAAGUCCGCGCUGA
rnacentral:rRNA from 1 species